rnacentral:rRNA from 1 species
AGCGAACGCUGGCGGCAGGCCUAACACAUGCAAGUCGAACGGACCUUUCGGGGUUAGUGGCGGACGGGUGAGUAACACGUGGGAACGUGCCUUUAGGUUCGGAGUAGCUCCUGGAAACGGGUGGUAAUGCCGAAUGUGCCCUUAGGGGGAAAGAUUUAUCGCCUUUAGAGCGGCCCGCGUCUGAUUAGAUAGUUGGUGAGGUAAUGGCUCACCAAGGCUACGAUCAAUAGCUGGUCUGAGAGGAUGACCAGCCACAUUGGGACUGAGACACGGCCCAAACUCCUACGGGAGGCAGCAGUGGGGAAUCUUGCGCAAUGGGCGAAAGCCUGACGCAGCCAUGCCGCGUGGAUGAUGAAGGUCUUAGGAUUGUAAAAUCCUUUCACCGGUGAAGAUAAUGACUGUAGCCGGAGAAGAAGCCCCGGCUAACUUCGUGCCAGCAGCCGCCGUAA